rnacentral:rRNA from 1 species
AGAGUUUGAUUCUGGCUCAGAACGAACGCUGGCGGCAGGCUUAACACAUGCAAGUCGAACGAUAUAGUGGCAGACGGGUGAGUAACGCGUGGAAACGUGCCUUUCACUACGGAAUAGCUUUUGGAAACGAAAGGUAAUACCGUAUACGCCCUCCGGGGGAAAGAUUUAUCGGUGAAAGAUCGGUCCGCGUUAGAUUAGCUAGUUGGUGAGGUAAGAGCUCACCAAGGCGACGAUCUAUAGCUGGUCUGAGAGGAUGAUCAGCCACACUGGGACUGAGACACGGCCCAGACUCCUACGGGAGGCAGCAGUGGGGAAUAUUGCACAAUGGGCGCAAGCCUGAUGCAGCCAUGCCGCGUGAAUGAUGAAGGCCUUAGGGUUGUAAAAUUCUUUCGCUAGGGAUGAUAAUGACAGUACCUAGUAAAGAAGCCCCGGCUAACUUCGUGCCAGCAGCCGCGGUAAUACGAAGGGGGCUAGCGUUGUUCGGAAUUACUGGGCGUAAAGCGCACGUAGGCGGACUUUUAAGUCAGAUGUGAAAUCCCAAGGCUCAACCUUGGAACUGCAUUUGAAACUGGGAGUCUAGAGAUCAGGAGAGGUUAGUGGAAUACCGAGUGUAGAGGUGAAAUUCGUAGAUAUUCGGUGGAACACCAGUGGCGAAGGCGACUAACUGGACUGAUACUGACGCUGAGGUGCGAAAGUGUGGGGAGCAAACAGGAUUAGAUACCCUGGUAGUCCACACCGUAAACGAUGAGAGCUAGUUGUCUGCAGGCAUGCCUGUAGGUGACGCAGCUAACGCAUUAAGCUCUCCGCCUGGGGAGUACGGCCGCAAGGUUAAAACUCAAAGAAAUUGACGGGGGCCCGCACAAGCAGUGGAGCAUGUGGUUUAAUUCGAAGCAACGCGCAGAACCUUACCUACGCUUGACAUGCCUGGACGACUCCGAGAGAUCGGUUUCUCCCUUCGGGGCCAGUGCACAGGUGCUGCA